rnacentral:rRNA from 1 species
GAUGAACGCUGGCGGCGUGCCUAAUACAUGCAAGUCGAGCGAACGGACGAGAAGCUUGCUUCUCUGAUGUUAGCGGCGGACGGGUGAGUAACACGUGGAUAACCUACCUAUAAGACUGGGAUAACUUCGGGAAACCGUAGCUAAUACCGGAUAAUAUUUUGAACCGCAUGGUUCAAAAGUGAAAGACGGUCUUGCUGUCACUUAUAGAUGGAUCCGCGCUGCAUUAGCUAGUUGGUAAGGUAACGGCUUACCAAGGCAACGAUGCAUAGCCGACCUGAGAGGGUGAUCGGCCACACUGGAACUGAGACACGGUCCAGACUCCUACGGGAGGCAGCAGUAGGGAAUCUUCCGCAAUGGUCGAAAGCCUUACGGAGCAACGCCGCGUGAGUGAUGAAGGUCUUCGGAUCGUAAAACUCUGUUAUUAGGGAAGAACAUAUGUGUAAUUAACUGUGCACAUCUUGACGGUACCUAAUCAGAAAGCCACGGCUAACUACGUG